rnacentral:lncRNA from 1 species
GAAGAACAAGAAAAGUCGUUCAGAUUGAAUCGUCGAUCACCCUCAAACUCAUGAUCAGAAGGAGGAAAGGAAUGAGGUAGACACUUGUAUAUUCGGAUCAAAACAAAUCCACCACAAACGUGACCGAUACGCACUGCUGUAAAACUCAUCUUUAGUUCUAGUUGGACCCUCAAACUCAUGAUCAGAAGGAGGAAAGGAAUGAGGUAGACACUUGUAUAUUCGGAUCAAAACAAAUCCACCACAAACGUGACCGAUAGGCACUGCUGUAAAACUCAUCUUUA